CGCGUGGGUAACCUGCCUCAUACAGGGGGAUAGCAGUUGGAAACGACUGGUAAAACCGCAUAAGCGCACGGUGUCGCAUGACACAGUGUGAAAACACUCCGGUGGUAUGAGAUGGACCCGCGUCUGAUUAGCUAGUUGGUGAGGUAACGGCCCACCAAGGCGACGAUCAGUAGCCGGCCUGAGAGGGUGAACGGCCACAUUGGGACUGAGACACGGCCCAA
rnacentral:rRNA from 1 species